rnacentral:rRNA from 1 species
UACGUAGGAUGCAAGCGUUGUCCGGAAUUAUUGGGCGUAAAGAGCGCGCAGGCGGUUUGAGAAGUCAGAUGUGAAAGAGGCCGGCUUAACCGGACAAGGGUCAUUUGAAACUGACAGACUAGAGUACGCAGAGGAUAGCGGAAUUCCCGGUGUAGUGGUGAAAUGCGUAGAUAUCGGGAGGAACACCAGUGGCGAAGGCGGCUAUCUGGGCUGAAACUGACGCUGAGGCGACGAAGGCUAGGGUAGCAAACGAGGAAG